CCUACGGGAGGCAGCAGUGGGGAAUCUUGCACAAUGGGGGAAACCCUGAUGCAGCAACGCCGCGUGAGCGAUGAAGGCCUUCGGGUCGUAAAGCUCUGUCCUAAGGGAAGAAUACUGACGGUACCUUAGGAGGAAGCCCCGGCUAAGUACGUGCCAGCAGCCGCGGUAAUACGUAGGGGGCUAGCGUUAUCCGGAAUUACUGGGCGUAAAGGGUGCGUAGGCGGCCCUUCAAGUCAGAGGUGAAAGGCGACGCCUCAACCGUAGGCAGCCUUUGAGACUGUAGGGGUUGAGUGCAGGAGGGGAGAGGGGAAUUCCCCGUGUAGAGGGGAAAUGCGCAGAUAUUGGGAGGAACGCCCGUUGCGAAGGCGGCGCUCUGGAAUGUGACUGACGCUGAGGACCGAAAGCGUGGGGAGCGAACAGGAUUAGAUACCCGGGUAGUC
rnacentral:rRNA from 1 species